UAGGGACACACAGAACAUUCCUUCUAUAGAUCGCCCACAGGUUUUCUUGUCAAAACCGCCUUCUCUCGAACCUUCCGAUCCUGUUUAAAUAGAGCCACGGAGAACAACUUUUACAGAACAAACCAAGAAGAUUGAUGGUUACCUGUGAGAGAGUGAAUACCUGGUUACCAGCAGAAUCCCAGGGUGAAGAGGACGACGAAGACCAAGAUCUGGGAGGAGGGCUCUCAAGCAAUCUUCAUCGAAUCCAUGAUCUACCAGAAGAGGAAACCAAGAGCAUGACAAGCUCAAAGAGAGUCCUGGUGGGUGAUGGGAAGCACCAGUAGUAGUAGGAGGAGGAGAUAUAAUCUGCACUCCUCACUGGUCAGAGGAACAGCCAACAAUAAACGGCGAGCCUCCUCAGCCACUUUGAUCUUCAGCUCUUCCAGAGUUCCAGUGAGUUCAACUACUGCAGUUGUAGCAUGUUGAGAUCUUCAGUAGGUAGUACCUGUCUGAUAUGUAAUGCCAAGUAUAUCUGGAAGAGUCUUGAGUGGUGGGAGGGGAAGCCGAAUCCCAGAUAAGAAUAGAGUACGUUGAGAGCAUAAACUCGAGCCGGUUGACAACAAAACUGGCCAACCGUGAGAGGAUCCAAAUUGCAUCUCUUGACUCUUCGGCCAUGAUAAAGUAAUCUGGGGUUCACAUCCAAAACCAAUUGACAAUGGAUGGAGUGGCCCAAACCCUUAUAAACCCAUAGGCAAGGUCCCAUUUUUCCCAUGUGGGAUGACAUAUAUUCUCAACACGCCCCCGCACGUGUGGCGAAUUUUCAAGCCAUACACGUGGACAACUUUGGGUGACGUGGAGCCCGUGUGGCCGUUAGACAUGCACACGUGGGUAACCCGCUCUGAUACCAUGAUAAAGUAAUCUGGGGUUCACAUCCAAAACCAAUUGGCAAUGGAUGGAGUGGCCCAAACCCUUAUAAACCCAUAGGCAAGGUCCCAUUUUUCCUAUGUGGGAUGACAUAUAUUCUCAACAGAUGUUCGAGUUGUAAAAGCUUCCUUCAAGACUGUAAAACCUAGACCCAUCAAUGGCCUCAUCAGAUCUCGGGGAAGAACGAGCCACACGUUGUUUCGGGUAGCCAAGUGAAGGAUGGUGACUUGGUAAUUUCAUUAACUGCAGCAGACCAAGAGGGACAAAUUAAUUAACUGCUUUAAAGCGCAUGAUGCUUUUGAGGGUGGAUGUUGAUAGCUAGGAUUAGUUGACAGAGUUCCUUUGGUAAUUCGGACCAUCUUGACAUGGGAAAAUUGUAUCAUUAAUUCCAGCUUUUAUCAUUUGUCAUCUACAAGAAGAUAACCUGGAGUCUGGUUAAUUUCAUUUGUCAUCUUCACUA